CUUCCGCUAACAAAAGUAGUAGCUAACAGCGGUAGCUCACCAGGUACUCCUGUUAGUGCUUCUAAUUGUGGAUUUUUAGUGAUUUUGGACUCAUGGGCGUCAGUGAGAAGAACCGAACGUCCCUGUUGGAACCAUUAAAGUACCAAAAACGGGUCAAUCCUAACGGGGACUUCUGCUGUGUGCCACAAUGCACCGUGUCGGCAAAGUUCAACUCGGCUGUAAGUUUCCAUCACUUCCCCAAAGGAUGAAGCCUCGAGAGAAAAGUGAGACGUGAAACUCUAGAGAUUAAGAAGACCACGACUGUCUGUAGCAGACACUUCCUCGCCAUGGAUAUUAUUCAAGGCGGAAGAAAACGCUUGACAGAAGGGACAGUAUCCGUGUUGGCUGGCAGAACCCUGCAGCAGUCCUUUGGUCUGCAGAGGUUUUCAGCGUCGGAUGAUGACAUCAGAGUCUAUACCAGAUUUGCCAGCUACCACCAUCUGCAGGCAUUUUGGAAACAGAUUGAACCUGCAACAAGACGAAUGGUAUGUGUUGGUACACAGACAUCCACUUCCUGCAUGACAGCAGCUCAGGACAAGGCCGCUGAUCCACCCCGUCAAUCGAGUCGGAGCCUUCUGCUGAUCGAUGAACUCUUCCUGUUCUUGGCGUACCUGUCGCUGGGUCUACAGGAGAAAGAUUUAGCUCACCGUUUCAACGUCCAUCAGUCCUCUGUCAGUCAGAUCAUCAAAACCUGGGUGCAUCUUUUGUACACCUUACGUGUACAAAAACGAGGCGUUGGAAUAUGGAUGUCUUCGGAAAAAAAUUAAAGCCACAAUGCCAAGUGUGAUUGGCAAGCACUCUGACACCCAAGUUAUUGUUGACUGCACCGAGUUAAGAUGUCAGGCGCCCUCAUCUUUACUCUUACAGAGUGAAGUGUUUUUCCAGCACAAGUCCCAUACCACCCUGUGACCUUUGUUUCCUUGCUGUUUUCUGCUCUGUCAGUGACAAAAAAGUGUUCUGGCAUUAUCCCACUUCUGAGUAAAGACAUGGCUGUUAUUGUGGACAAGGGAUUCAUCGUUGAUGAACUUGUUCCCUGCAAAGUUUACAGGCUUCCUUUUGUAAGUAAGAUGUCCCAGCCGUCUCAUAACAAAGUGCUCAUCACUCAGGACAUUGCACGGUUAACGAUACACAUCAAGAGGACAAUUAGGUGGGUAAAGGACAACAAGCUGUUCGACACAGUUAUUCCCCAAACCAUUGCUGAUAGUAUCAACCAGCUGUGAACAAAGAACAAACAACAAAGAACUGUUAUUCCAUACUCCUGCCUCUCAGAAUACUCACAGAGUGUAAGUGUUUUAUAUGUAUUGUAUGUAGCAGUAAUGACAUGUAUAAAAUCAAAACUAGCAUAUUAAAUCACCGCACAUCUUCUGUUGGUACAAUUAGACAUACAUUGUCAUGUAAUGUUUUUAAUAUCCGUCAUUAAAAAUUAAAGCUUUUUUG
rnacentral:lncRNA from 1 species